rnacentral:rRNA from 1 species
GUGUCAGCAGCCGCGGUAAUACGUAGGUUGCGAGCGUUGUCCGGAUUUACUGGGCGUAAAGCGCGCGCAGGCGGUCCUGUAAGUCUGCGGUGAAAGCUCCCGGCCCAACUGGGAGAGGCCCGCGGAAACUACAGGACUUGAAGGCGGGAGAGGCAAAUGGAAUUUCCGGUGUAGCGGUAAAAUGCGUAGAUACCGGAAGGAACACCAGUGGCGAAAGCGAUUUGCUGGCCCGCCCUUGACGCUCAGGCGCGAAAGCUAGGGGAGCGACCGGGAUUAGAUACCCGCGUAGUCC